rnacentral:rRNA from 1 species
GAUGAACGCUGGCGGCGUGCCUAAUACAUGUAAGUCGAGCGAACAGACGAGGAGCUUGCUCCUCUGACGUUAGCGGCGGACGGGUGAGUAACACGUGGAUAACCUACCUAUAAGACUGGGAUAACUUCGGGAAACCGGAGCUAAUACCGGAUAAUAUAUUGAACCGCAUGGUUCAAUAGUGAAAGACGGUUUUGCUGUCACUUAUAGAUGGAUCCGCGCCGCAUUAGCUAGUUGGUAAGGUAACGGCUUACCAAGGCAACGAUGCGUAGCCGACCUGAGAGGGUGAUCGGCCACACUGGAACUGAGACACGGUCCAGACUCCUACGGGAGGCAGCAGUAGGGAAUCUUCCGCAAUGGGCGAAAGCCUGACGGAGCAACGCCGCGUGAGUGAUGAAGGUCUUCGGAUCGUAAAACUCUGUUAUUAGGGAAGAACAAAUGUGUAAGUAACUAUGCACGUCUUGACGGUACCUAAUCAGAAAGCCACGGCUAACUACGUG